CCCGCGAUAGCUCAGUUGGUAGAGCGGAAGACUGUAGAUGUGUAAAAUGCUGUUAUCUUUAGGUCACUGAUUCAACUCCGGUUCGCGGGA
rnacentral:tRNA from 1 species